rnacentral:rRNA from 1 species
AGAAUGCCGGAAUGAGUAGCGAGAGGAAGGUGGGAAUCCUUCCGGCCGAAUAUCCAAGGUUUCCAGGGUAAAGCUGAUCUGCCCUGGGUAAGUCGGGGCCUAAGGCGAGGUCGGAAGACGUAGCCGAUGGACAACAGGUUGAGAUUCCUGUACUGCAGUAUGACAGAACUGUGGGGACACGUGUGGAGAGCAUAGCCGCGGAAUGGAAAGCCGCGGGCAAGCGAG